AAGGCUUCUUGAGACCUGAAAUCCAGAGUCUUCCCGGUAGAGUGGAGAUAGCAUAGUCAGCCACCAUACCAUGGGUUCUACGGCCCACAGAUUCAACCAACCAUGGAGGAGAAAUAUUCAGGGGAGGAGAGCUUGCCUGGGACACAUAAAGCCCUCAGUUCAAUUGGAAAUUUAGUUGGGGGAGUAAAGGAAACAGUUCAGAGCAAAACCAAAUAAAUGCGCAUGACUCAUUGGGAACCACAGCGCUCACCAGGAAGGUGGCUGGUUGGCUGGUUGGUUUUGUUUUGUUUUGUGGAGUUUUUGAGACAGGGUCUCUCUAUGUAGUUCUGGCCACCCUAGAGUUCUCUAUGUAGACCAGGCUGGCCUUCGACUCACAGACAUCUGCUUGCCUCUACCUCCCAAGUGCUGGGAUUAGAGGCAUGUGCUGCCAUGGUUGUCCUGAAAGCUGCUGUUUUGGAGGGUGGCAUCAGUGAGCAGCGACAGAUUCCACUUACACACCUGGCUCGUGUGUGGUCUGCUACUGCGCGGUUAUCCUCACAGAAUGGCCCAGAACUCGAGAGAGGAAGAGGCAGGUAGUUCAGAAGGUCCACAGUUGAAGCGAAGGCUCUAAGAACCCAGUCCCUUUCCUUUGCCUGCCUUCCUGUGGGAGAAGGAACUUUCCAGACUCUCUGCCUGGUUAAAGGGAAUCGACUCCCUUACAACCCUGGUCGAACCCAAGUCCGCAAGAACCAAAAACUGAUGUGACAGGCUCAGCUCCGCUUAAACUGUUAGACCCUCUGAAGAGCCGGGAGACCAGCUGAACCCUGGGUUAGGGAGGUGGCCUGCAGCCACCCAGACUUGGAGCAUCAGAGCCACCUGCUCAGAGAAGCCCCCUGUGGCCCAGGGGCUUCCUUCAGAAGCCUACGCAGAGGGACCCUGGAAACCCAGCACUGAGAUUGGGCCUUGUGAAAAAUGCCGGUGUUGUUUAGCUGGUGGAAUGCUGAUCUGUCGCUGGGAAUAUUGUUUUGUUUAGUGUAGCCUCUGGGUGGGGCUUCCAAAAUCUCCUUCCAGGAUGACCCUCCACCCUAACCCAGCUGGAAACCUAACUAAAGAAAAAGCUGGGAAACACGCAGUCAUUCACUGCCUGAGUGGGAGGAGUGUGUGUGGGGGGGUGCUUCUAGCCAAGGUCGGAAAGGAGCGGCCUGAGAAGGGAAGGAAGGAAGGAAGGAAGCGCCCAGGCUCUGCCCAGACUUCUUCCAACACUCAGGACCCAGGAGAAGCUAGGCUCGGCUCUCCCUGGGUUUUUAUGCUGCUGUCUGGAAAGUCUCCGUCUUCCAGCACCUACUGCCCCCUGUGGCUGACUUCUCUCUCUACGCCCCUCCCCCAGACUAACAGGCCGAAGGGACCGACCUGGAACUGAGUGGCUGCACUGUGGGCUUGCCUGCUCCUUUCCCUCCCCAUCCCUCCCCUUAGUAGCAACGUCACCGCAGCCCAGCCGCCGUGGCAGCAGCAGCAGCAAGAAGACAGGCUGAGAUUGCGCAGCCUCCCUGCAUUAGCUCGGGAUGCCAUUGUACUAACAGAAAUCAGAUCUCAGGGUAUCAGCCCGGUCCCCCUUGUGCGAUCUCGAGGACCAGUGAUUCAGCUGCCAUUGUCGAGGUAGGGCGCGACGGGCGUGCAAAAGGAACGGGAGCCACCAGGUCCAGCUCGAGGCUCCUUGCAGAGGAAUGGCUCUGGGGUGGGGGGUGGGAGGUCACUGCUGGCAGAGGCCGGAUCAGCAUCAGCAUCUGGGCUCUGGCUUCUGAAGGGUGGCUUUGUCUUUCGGAAAGGGAGAGUGACAGCAAGCGGAGACAAACUCAUCUCUGCAUGCAUGCAUGGGCCGGGCAAGAAAGAGGCUUGGGCUGAUGCUAUCUAUCUGUGCUGUUUGGUCAAGAAACAAGAUCCUUUUCUCUUCCUUCCUUCCUUCCUUCCUUCCUUCCUUCCUUCCUUCCUUCCUUCCUUUCUUUCUUUCUAUCUGGGUAUUUCUAAUGAAGCUGCUGUAGCUGCAGCUUUCAAAUCUGGACACAAAGGCUGAAUGGGUGGAGACCCUUCUACAGCUCGUGGAAGUUUAUGCUGAAAACCAUGCAGGAAUCUAUGCAUUCUUAUCCAGAAGGUUGGGUGGCUUUUCCUCCCCACACAUGCAUACUUGUAUGCACACAGACAUAUCCAUUGUAGAAGCUGCCAGGCUCUGGGAUUGGUUGCAGUAAGAAUGAAUGCAAAUGCCCUACAGCGUAUGGAGAGAGGGAUGCUGAAGGCACCUGACCUCUUAUGUUAUACUCAGCCCUGCUCUACAGAGCAGCUUCCUAGCAGGAAGGGACCAAAGCACAAGCUAAACCAAUGCCCCCUGAUCCACCAUACCGCCCUCUUCCCUUCGUCCUGCCCUAGAGAAGACUGUCAGCCCCACAGAGGCUCUCCGAAGGACCUCAGGUCAAGGUCAGAUCACUAAAGUAUAACAAUGAAUGCCUUUGCCUCCCUCCCUGCUAGCUCUGAAGAAACCAGAAAAGCAGCAACUAGGUACUGUGACCAACAGAGGGAUGCUGUUGGGUGAACAAAGACAGGAAGCGGCCUUCUGGAGUUGUCUUGCCCGUAGGCAGACAGAUCCUUAGCCCUGUUUCCACCAUUCACCCGGUAGUCAACUUGGAGAUUAGACGGGAGUUUUACAAUGUGUGACUGGGCAUUUCGGGAGUGUCCUGAGAGUAGGUUAGUUCCCAGCAAGCCAAGAACUGUGAACAGCACAGUGGAGCAAGGGGGAAGUGUCGUGAGAACCAUGAAUGGGCCAGGAUGAGGCAGAAGCCUGAGAACUGGGGCCUGAAGGGCAGGAAACAGGAUUGACCAAUGUGAGAACAUGGGACGAAAGGGGCCGCAGGUUCAGACUAGUUGAUAGAGCUUAUAUAAGUGGUCACGGCAGUGGGCACCAUGGAAUAGUAGGAAACAGCUGUGUGAGGGUGAUGGCCGGACUUGAGGGAGAGGACUGGCCUCAAGCCCUUGAGAAUGAGUGGUAGUAGACACCCUCGAGAGGGGACGUGCCCAGGCUUGGAGCCAUUUCAGCUGUGAUUGGGAGUGAGCUACCCAUAACCUGCAGCUUGGUUUCCUCGUGUGUUAAACGUGUGUGAUGACACACACACCUCUAAUCUCAGUACUCAGGAGGCAGAGGCGGGCAGAUCUCUGAGUUCAAGGCCGGCCUCAGCUACAGAGCCAGUUCUAGGUCAGCCAGGGCUAUACAGAGAGACCCUGUCUCAAAAAUAUAAGCAAGCAAGCCCACGCAGUGAAAAUGCCUGUGACUAUAUGGGGAUGUUUAGAUGGAAUUGGAGAUUCCCUGCAUCUGUGCACCUAGAUGUCACAUCUUCCUGCUGGCUGAGCCACUACUCUACCUACAGAGUUAGAUUUAGGUAGGAGGCUCGUCUUCGUUUAUGGGAGUUUCCUCCUCCUCUCUUCAUUUAAUUAGGAACAACACGUGUGAACUGAGUUCAUUCAUCUCAGAGUGCUCUUCACCCAUGGCCACAGUGUUACAUUCACUCCCAGGGAAGAAGUCUUAGAUGCACUCUCGCUUGUUUUCUGCAGUGUUUGAGGCAAAGUCAAAUGGCUUAUUACAUCAUUCCUCUUUGUGUUGUUUGAGUCAGACUCAGUAGCCCAGGUUAGUUUGAACCGACUGUAGCUCAGACUGGCCUUGAACUCCUAACCUUUCUCCCUACCCUACAGAUGCUGGGGUUAUAGGGGUCACCUCCCUAGCUCCCAUUUCAUUCCUUUUUUUUUUAAUGUUCAAAAAUUAGGGCUCCUAAUUUUUAUUAUUAAUUCUAUUGUUUGCUCACUUAUUUGUAAAACUCUGGCCCUGAGCUGUGUCUCCAGGUCCCUUUAUAAAAAAAAAAAAUGUAUGUGACUGUUUUGCCUGGAUAUAUCUAUGAACCCUAGAGGGAAAUCUAAUAUUGUAUUUAAAGAGAAUCCCCCUACUUAAAGAAAACUAUUAUUUAUGUACAUGGUAUGUAUUAUCUAUAGAUGAAAC
rnacentral:lncRNA from 1 species